CUCUCCGUGAAGCACAAGCUAGCAAAGGCAGAAAGCUCAUAAACAAGCUGUGUUUGCUCUAAAACGUUUGAGCCUUAGUCACACAGCACAGCAAAGAAAGCUUCACGGAAGCAAGAAAAGUAAGCCUUGUGUAAGGAGUUUUCUUUAUUGGUUCGCUGGCUGCCUAGCAGCAUGCAGUCACGUGUUGUGAGGACGGCACACACAGCACCACCAUUUCCAGGGUUUUACUUUUACAGGUUCUCACCAUGACCAGGAGCUUGAUGCUGUCAGUCUUCACGUCAGGAUUCAUUCAGUUGACCACAACUGAUUCAUUGCUAUGCUACAGUGUUGCCUACCUACACUCUGACUCCGAAGUAAGUAGUUAUUGCUGUAAUCUAACAAAUUUUACAGAAAGGACCAUUUUUGUUCACAGUAUCAUAUUUAUUGCAUAUUAUGCAGUACCGUAUUGACCUGCAAAUAUAAGACGUCAUUUUUUUUCAAACCUAAGAUGCAGGUUUUUUUCUUGAAAUAUAUAUACGUUCUUAGCAUAUCUACAUGUGUUGCUUUAGAAAAUAUCAAAGUGGCCCUUGCGUCCUCCAUACUCAGUGGCAAAGUUUGGACACCGCUGAUCAAAAGCCACAAAUAUUUUGAAAACUUUGCAUUUCAAACCUGGAUUUUCUUUUUUUGUUUGUUUUGUUUAUUUAACUUUUUAAUUCUGGCAGAUUUGCAUUGUAGAAAUUCCAGUUGUGAGAACAUUCAAAUAAACCACUUGUACCUUUCAUAUUCUACCAUAAUUGUAUAUCCAAUUACCUAUUUGCUGACGUAGCUGCAUAUGUUGUUUCUGCAGACAAAAUCAAACCAAUCUUCUUACUGAAAUCUGUUAUUAUAUAAUGCGCACACGCAAUAGCCUCACCUGCCCUAUUGAUGUUGCGGCGUUAUGCAGCAUGCUAAGCUUAGAUCACAUCUGCCUAUGAGCUCUCGACACAUAUUUCAGUGUCAGGAGCGGGCCAGAUAAGGCUAAUAAAAGUA